UUAAUUCUUCGGGGCAGGGUGAUGCAGUAAGAUUUGCAGAUUCCCGACCGACGGUGAUGUAGAGUCCUGAUAAUGAUCAGAGUCAUUUACAAAGUCCGUGACCUGCUAAGGCAGCUGAUCCGGUGAGAUUCCGGAACCGACAGUAUAGUCUGGAUGAGAGAAGAUAAGC
rnacentral:ncRNA from 2 species